rnacentral:rRNA from 1 species
AGAUUGAACGCUGGCGGCAGGCUUAACACAUGCAAGUCGAGCGGUAGCAGGCCUUCGGGUGCUGACGAGCGGCGGACGGGUGAGGAAUGCAUAGGAAUCUGCCUAUUAGUGGGGGAUAACACGGGGAAACUCGUGCUAAUACCGCAUACGUCCUACGGGAGAAAGCGGGGGAUCUUCGGACCUCGCGCUAAUAGAUGAGCCUAUGCCGGAUUAGCUAGUUGGUAGGGUAAAGGCCUACCAAGGCGACGAUCCGUAGCUGGUCUGAGAGGAUGAUCAGCCACACUGGGACUGAGACACGGCCCAGACUCAUACGGGAGGCAGCAGUGGGGAAUAUUGGACAAUGGGCGCAAGCCUGAUCCAGCCAUGCCGCGUGUGUGAAGAAGGCCUUCGGGUUGUAAAGCACUUUAAGUGGGGAGGAAGGUUAGUGGUUUAAUACGCUACUAAAUUGACGUUACCCACAGAAUAAGCACCGGCUAACUCUGUGCCAGCAGCCGCGGUAAUACAGAGGGUGCAAGCGUUAAUCGGAAUUACUGGGCGUAAAGCGCGCGUAGGUGGUUUUGUAAGUUGAAUGUGAAAUCCCCGGGCUUAACCUGGGAAUGGCAUCCAAAACUGCACGACUAGAGUAUGGGAGAGGGAGGUAGAAUUCCAGGUGUAGCGGUGAAAUGCGUAGAGAUCUGGAGGAAUACCGGUGGCGAAGGCGGCCUCCUGGCCUAAUACUGACACUGAGGUGCGAAAGCGUGGGUAGCAAACAGGAUUAGAUACCCUGGUAGUCCACGCCGUAAACGAUGAGAACUAGCCGUUGGUCUCCUUGAGAGGUUAGUGGCGCAGCUAACGCGAUAAGUUCUCCGCCUGGGGAGUACGGCCGCAAGGUUAAAACUCAAAUGAAUUGACGGGGGCCCGCACAAGCGGUGGAGCAUGUGGUUUAAUUCGACGCAACGCGAAGAACCUUACCUGGUCUUGACAUCCACGGAAUCCUGCAGAGAUGUGGGGGUGCCUUCGGGAACCGUGAGACAGGUGCUGCAUGGCUGUCGUCAGCUCGUGUUGUGAAAUGUUGGGUUAAGUCCCGUAACGAGCGCAACCCUUGUCCUUAGUUGCCAGCGAGUAAUGUCGGGAACUCUAAGGAGACUGCCGGUGACAAACCGGAGGAAGGUGGGGACGACGUCAAGUCAUCAUGGCCCUUACGACCAGGGCUACACACGUGCUACAAUGGCCGGUACAGAGGGUUGCCAAGCCGCGAGGUGGAGCCAAUCCCGAAAAGCCGGUCGUAGUCCGGAUUGCAGUCUGCAACUCGACUGCAUGAAGUCGGAAUCGCUAGUAAUCGCAGAUCAGAAUGCUGCGGUGAAUACGUUCCCGGGCCUUGUACACACCGCCCGUCACACCAUGGGAGUGGGUUGCACCAGAAGUAGUUAGCUUAACCGCAAGGGGAGCGAUUACCACGGUGUGAUUCAUGACUGGGGUGAAGUCGGAACAAGGUA